CCCUGCAGGGUGAAGAAAUAAGAAUGUGAGAAGAGAAGAGAAGAGACUGCUGAGACCAGACAAUUUAAAAGCGCAAGUCUCUUGCUUCUAGCUGUUGUGGCAGCUCUCUGAAUUAAAACUGAGCUUAAAUGAAGCUGCUGGGAAGAAAUGCAGGUCAAGCCUAGGAAGUCAUAACCCUGAGCUGCUGCAGAAGAAAUCCUCUGUGUGUUCUCCUGAAUUGUAAAGGCUGGUAAGAAAGAGAAGCCAAAGUCAUCCAUUAAUCCACAGGCAAAGUCCUAUUGAAGCUGCUGCAGUGAAAGCUCUCACACGCUGCCCUGGAAAUAACCCCGGCCGUGACGUGGUG
rnacentral:lncRNA from 1 species